GAUGCAGCCAUGCCGCGUGUAUGAAGAAGGCCUUCGGGUUGUAAAGUACUUUCAGCGGGGAGGAAGGCGAUGCGGUUAAUAACCGCGUCGAUUGACGUUACCCGCAGAAGAAGCACCGGCUAACUCCGUGCCAGCAGCCGCGGUAAUACGGAGGGUGCAAGCGUUAAUCGGAAUUACUGGGCGUAAAGCGCACGCAGGCGGUCUGUCAAGUCGGAUGUGAAAUCCCCGGGCUCAACCUGGGAACUGCAUCCGAAACUGGCAGGCUUGAGUCUCGUAGAGGGGGGUAGAAUUCCAGGUGUAGCGGUGAAAUGCGUAGAGAUCUGGAGGAAUACCGGUGGCGAAGGCGGCCCCCUGGACGAAGACUGACG
rnacentral:rRNA from 1 species